rnacentral:rRNA from 1 species
GAUGAACGCUGGCGGCGUGCCUAAUACAUGCAAGUCGAGCGAACAGAUGAGGAGCUUGCUCCUCUGACGUUAGCGGCGGACGGGUGAGUAACACGUGGAUAACCUACCUAUAAGACUGGGAUAACUUCGGGAAACCGGAGCUAAUACCGGAUAAUAUAUUGAACCGCAUGGUUCAAUAGUGAAAGACGGUUUUGCUGUCACUUAUAGAUGGAUCCGCGCCGCAUUAGCUAGUUGGUAAGGUAACGGCUUACCAAGGCAACGAUGCGUAGCCGACCUGAGAGGGUGAUCGGCCACACGGGAACUGAGACACGGUCCAGACUCCUACGGGAGGCAGCAGUAGGGAAUCGUCCGCAAUGGGCGAAAGCCUGACGGAGCAACGCCGCGUGAGUGAUGAAGGUCUUCGGAUCGUAAAACUCUGUUAUUAGUGAAGAACAAAUGUGUAAGUAACUAUGCACGUCUUGACGGUACCUAAUCAGAAAGCCACGGCUAACUACGUG